UACGUAGGGGGCUAGCGUUGUCCGGAAUUAUUGGGCGUAAAGGGCUCGUAGGCGGUUUGUCGCGUCGGGAGUGAAAAUCCAGGGCUUAACUCUGGACUGGCUUCCGAUACGGGCAGACUAGAGGUAUGCAGGGGAGAACGGAAUUCCUGGUGUAGAGGUGAAAUUCGUAGAUAUUAGGAAGAACACCGGUGGCGAAGGCGGCCCACUGGUCCGGUACUGACGCUGAGGUGCGAAAGCGUGGGGAGCAAACAGG
rnacentral:rRNA from 1 species